AAACCACACCUAUAUAAAAAUCCCCUGAUCAGCCACACUAACCCUUUACAUCGGCCAUUGAGAGCAUAACACUUUGUUCACAGCACGGACAACAAACCUAAGAGCCUUCUUUUCAACAUGGACAGCAUAUAUGGUAGGUAAAACAAGACUAUAACGGAUUCUUAAAUUUAUACAACUGUAUAUCAAAAAAUAUUCAAAAUGUUUUCUCUUCUAAACAAAAGCCUGAUUUUUAGGAACAUGGCACACUGGGACAUCCCACGCGGCACAUACACAAGGUUUGUAUUUCUUCUUCUCACACAAAACAGCUUGUGCCUCAUUGUUUAGAAGUAAUCUUACCUGUUUCACACAUAGUAACAUUUAAAUGUGUAUUUCUCAUUCUUUCUACAGGAUCACAAAGCUAUAUAGGGCAAACAACACCUCUAAAAAACACAAGGUUCAAUAAGUUGUCCAGAAAAACCUACAGAAGCGGGGGCAAUAAGACCAAGCCUUACGCUAGGCCUGAGACAGAGUACACAGUGUGUCAAGAAGAGGGGCCAUCCGGAAUAACACAGAACAAAGUCGAUCACACAACCCCUUACCACUACGGAUCCCUUGAAGACCCCUUAACGUUUUUGGAAUAUUUACGUGAUAUUGAACUCCCAGAACAACAAGAAAAACCACAAUCUUUGGGCAACGUCGGAGAAUCGGAAGAAUUCUUCAUCACCGGACCACACAUACCAGCGAGUGAGUGUCUGCCUAGUGAUUUCAGUGAUGUUUUCGAGUACAGCCUAUCAGAUUUCAACAUAAAUGACAUACCCGCCACUCCAGAAUGUCUCAGAAACAACCGUGAUUCAGACAUAGGUUUUGAAGAAGGUUGCAUAACAGACUCACAAAUAUCGCAGGCAUAUGAUGCAUACUUAAAUGCAGCAAUACCCUCUACUUUUGAACAGAGCCAUUAUGCUUCAAAAAAUGAUAUAUUAUCUUUGAUCGAUGCUAAACUUAGUCAACAUCAACGAGAAAUAGAGGCUAAACUUAACCAGCAACA